AGUGAACGCUGGCGGUAGGCCUAACACAUGCAAGUCGAACGGCAGCACAGUAAGAGCUUGCUCUUACGGGUGGCGAGUGGCGGACGGGUGAGGAAUACAUCGGAAUCUACUUUUUCGUGGGGGAUAACGUAGGGAAACUUCUGCUAAUACCGCAUACGACCUACGGGUGAAAGCAGGGGAUCUUCGGACCUUGCGCGAUUGAAUGAGGCGAUGUCGGUUUAGCUAGUUGGCAGGGUAAAGGCCCACCAAGGCGACGAACCGUAGCUGGUCUGAGAGGAUGGUCAGCCACACUGGAACUGAGACACGGUCCAGACUCCUACGGGAGGCAGCAGUGGGGAAUAUUGGACAAUGGGCGCAAGCCUGAUCCAGCCAUACCGCGUGGGUGAAGAAGGCCUUCGGGUUGUAAAGCCCUUUUGUUGGGAAAGAAAAGCAGCAGGUUAAUACCCCGCUGUUCUGACGGUACCCAAAGAAUAAGCACCGGCUAACUUCGUG
rnacentral:rRNA from 1 species